GGAGCAGUUUCAUGGAAUGAUAACAAGUAAGAGAAGAAAGAAGGGCAAGCAUAAGAUAGACUUGAGUUGCAGUUGGGAAAUUGGAACCACAGCUAUCAGCAUAGACCCAGAAGGGGCACACUUGUACAUAGAAACCACAUGUUGUAAUGGAAAACUAAGUUGCAAAUGGAAUCUGAAGAACUCAGCCCAAAUCUCAGCCACGAGAUAAAGAGGAAAUAAUGGUUUGCUGGCUUGGGAAAGAAAGGUAAGAGAGUUCCUUUUCUUUUUUUAAAGUUUAUUUUGAAAGAGAACACGUGCGCAUGCACACAAGUCGGAGAGAGACAGAGAGAGGGAG